AACUGCUGCAUCUUCAGUCUGAACUCCACUGAUGGUCAAAGUGAAGUCAGAGCUGCUUCCACUGCCACUAAACCGAGCUGGUGUUCCUGAAUAACGUCUGCUCCUGUGAUUUAUUAAGAGCUUUGGAGGCUGUCCAGAUUUCUGCUGGUACCAGAAUAUACAUAUAUCAACUCCACCACAGAUGUAAACAGGUUCGCUAAUUUUACAGCUGAUAGAGACAGUGGAUCCUGGAGUAAAUGUCUUUACUGGAGGCUGAGUCACAGUCACCCGACCGCUGCAUCCUGCAGACAAAAACAAAUCAUUCAUUUAUCAGCAGAAAGAAAUGAGAGAAAAGGCAGCACAUCAUGUUUGAAAUGUUGCUGAGUGAAUGAACCUGUAAAACAGCAGCAGGCCAGCGUCCAGAUGAGGAUGGUGAUGAGAGUCAUGGUGGUUGUGGUUUCUGCUGUGUUGACUGACAGAUCUGAGUCCUGCAGUGUUGAACUCACAGGACUAUAAACCUUCUCAGUUCACUGGAGGAUCAGCUGACGAUGCAAAGCCUCCUCUCUAUGGAAAUUAUUUCUCUGCUCUCAACACACUGAAGGCAACGUGGGACACAAAAUCAGGAGAAAUACUGCUUGGAUUUACACCAUCUAUGAUCUUAAUGGAAUACAAUGGGUGUGGUGCGUCCCACCCUGACCGUCCUCCCCCCCUCCAGAGAGGAGCUGCAGAAGGACAGUGCCACACUGGUGUGUCUGGCCAGCGGGGGCUUCCCCUCAACCUGGAGUCUGGGCUGGAAGGUGGGGGGCAGCAGCAGCUCCUCAGGGGUGUCACACAGCCUGGAGGUCCUGGGGAGGGACGGCCACUACAGCUGGAGCAGCACCCUGAGCCUCUCUGCAGACCAGUGGAGGAAGGCGGGCUCAGUGAGCUGUGAGGCCAGUCUGAGUGGACAGAGCCCUGUCACUCAAACCCUGGACCCUGACCGCUGUUCAGAGUAGAGCUUCAGCGACACUUCCUGUCUGGAAAUGAUGCUGCUUCUUUGAUAGAGAUCUUGAUGAAGCUGCAGAUCUCCUCUGUUCACAUAUUUCUGCAGGCUUCAUAGCUUUCUACUCAGUGGUUUAGUUUGCAUGUUGCUUUCUAAUACUGAUCUUCUGCAUAUGCUUCUUUAUGUUCUUCACUUUUCAAAUUCGAAAUUAAAUGUAUUAGUUUCACUCCAAAAGAAACUGUUAAUUUAUCAAAAAUGUGGGAUAAACAUUAAACAUCAUUAAAUAAAUCUGUGGAUUAUAAUGA